rnacentral:rRNA from 1 species
AGCAGCCGCGGUAAUUCCAGCUCCAAUAGCGUAUAUUAAAGUUGCUGCAGUUAAAAAGCUCGUAGUUGAAUUUCGGGAUCAUCAUGUCGGUCGUGCCUCGGUACGUACUGGCAUUGUUGGUUUCUACCUUCUGACGAACCAUGAUGUCAUUUAUUUGGUGUCGUGGGAAAUCAGGACUGUUACUUUGAAAAAAUUGAGUGUUUAAAGCAGGCUCACGCUUGAAUACAUUAGCAUGGAAUAAUGAAAUAGGACGUUUGAUUCUAUUUUGUUGGUUUCUAGGAUCGACGUAAUGAUUAAUAGGGAUAGUUGGGGGCAUUAGUAUUCAAUUGUCAGAGGUGAAAUUCUUGGAUUUAUUGAAGACUAACUACUGCGAAAGCAUUUGCCAAGGAUGUUUUCAUUAAUCAAGAACGAAAGUUAGGGGAUCGAAGACGAUCAGAUACCGUCGUAGUCUUAACCAUAAACUAUGCCGACUAGGGAUCGGAUGAUGUAAUUUU